rnacentral:lncRNA from 1 species
GAAAAUAGUGGCAGUGGAGAUGGCUAUAGCGGAUUUGGUAAUGAUGGAAGCAGUUUUGGAGGUAGUGAAAGCUGUAAUGAUUUUGGCAAUUAUAGCCACCAAUCUUCAAAUUUUGGACCCAUUAAAGGAAGAAAGUUUGGAGACAGAAGCUCUGAACUCUAUGAUGAUGGAGGCCAAUACUGUCAAGAAACAAAACUUAGCAGGAGAGGAAAGCCAGAGAAGUGACAGGGAAGCUACAGUUUACAACAGAUUUGUAAACUCUACCAAGUACAGUGGUGGCAGUGCCUAGCUACUACAAAGAAGACAUGUUUUAGACAAUAUUCUUGUGUAUGGAUAAAAACCUUGAGAACCGUAAUUAUGACUAACUGAAUUAGAAGUUAUUUCAGUUUCUGUUAUGUGGAAAGUGUAAAGCAUUCCAACAAAGGGUUCUAAUGUAGGGUUGUUGUUUUCUUUUGUUUUGCCCCAUGCUGUUGAUUGCUAAAUGUCAUAGUCUGAUCAUGACAUUAAUAACUGUGUCUUU